CCAAUAGCGUAUAUUAAAGUUGUUGCAGUUAAAAAGCUCGUAGUUGAACUUCGGGGUUUACCCAUUGGUCAGGCUUAAUUGUCUGCACUGGUGAGAUGGAUCUCUACCUUCUGAGGAACUUUCAUGCCAUUUAUUUGGUGUGAUGGGAAAUCAGGACUGUUACUUUGAAAAAAUUAGAGUGUUUAAAGCAGACUAUCGUCUGAAUACAUUAGCAUGGAAUAAUGAAAUAGGACGGACUGAUUCUAUUUCGUUGGUUUCUAGGAUCACCGUAAUGAUUAAUAGGGAUAGUUGGGGGCAUUAGUAUUCAAUUGUCAGAGGUGAAAUUCUUGGAUUUAUUGAAGACUAACUACUGCGAAAGCAUUUGCCAAGGAUGUUUUCAUUAAUCAAGAACGAAAGUUAGGGGAUCGAAGACGAUCAGAUACCGUCGUAGUCUUAACCAUAAACUAUGCCGACUAGGGAUCGGACGAAGUUAAUUUUAUAAUGACGCGUUCGGCACCUUACG
rnacentral:rRNA from 1 species